rnacentral:rRNA from 1 species
GACGAACGCUGGCGGCGUGCUUAACACAUGCAAGUCGAACGGAAAGGCCCAGCUUGCUGGGUGCUCGAGUGGCGAACGGGUGAGUAACACGUGGGUGAUCUGCCCCUAACUUCGGGAUAAGCUUGGGAAACUGGGUCUAAUACCGGAUAGGACAAUCGUUUAGUGUCGGUUGUGGAAAGUUUUUUCGGUUAGGGAUGAGCCCGCGGCCUAUCAGCUUGUUGGUGGGGUAAUGGCCUACCAAGGCGUCGACGGGUAGCCGGCCUGAGAGGGUGGACGGCCACAUUGGGACUGAGGUACGGCCCAGACUCCUACGGGAGGCAGCAGUGGGGAAUAUUGCACAAUGGGCGCAAGCCUGAUGCAGCGACGCCGCGUGGGGGAUGACGGCCUUCGGGUUGUAAACCUCUUUCGACAGGGACGAAGCUUUGGUGACGGUACCUGUAUAAGAAGCACCGGCUAACUACGUG